CUUUAACAUGCAGUCGAACGGCAGCACGGGGCAACCUGGUGGCGAGUGGCGAACGGGUGAGUAACAUAUCGGAACAUAUCCGGAAGUGGGGGAUAACGUAGCGAAAGUUACGCUAAUACCGCAUAUGCCCUGAGGGGGAAAGGGGGGGAUCGCAAGACCUCUCGCUUUCGGAGUGGCCGAUAUCGGAUUAGCUAGAUGGUGAGGUAAAGGCUCACCAUGGCGACGAUCCGUAGCGGGUCUGAGAGGACGACCCGCCACACUGGAACUGAGACACGGUCCAGACUCCUACGGGAGGCAGCAGUGGGGAAUUUUGGACAAUGGGCGCAAGCCUGAUCCAGCCAUACCGCGUGAGUGAAGAAGGCCUUCGGGUUGUAAAGCUCUUUCAGCCGGAAAGAAAUCGCACUUUUUAAUACGGAGUGUGGAUGACGGUACCGGAAGAAGAAGCACCGGCUAACUACGUGCCAGCAGCCGCGGUAAUACGUAGGGUGCGAGCGUUAAUCGGAAUUACUGGGCGUAAAGCGUGCGCAGGCGGUUUGAUAAGACAGAUGUGAAAUCCCCGGGCUCAACCUGGGAACUGCAUUUGUGACUGCCAGACUAGAGUGUAGCAGAGGGGGGUAGAAUUCCACGUGUAGCAGUGAAAUGCGUAGAGAUGUGGAGGAAUACCGAUGGCGAAGGCAGCCCCCUGGGCUAACACUGACGCUCAUGCACGAAAGCGUGGGGAGCAAACAGGAUUAGAUACCCUGGUAGUCCACGCCCUAAACGAUGUCAACUAGGUGUUGGGGAAGGAGACUUCUUUAGUACCGCAGCUAACGCGUGAAGUUGACCGCCUGGGGAGUACGGUCGCAAGAUUAAAACUCAAAGGAAUUGACGGGGACCCGCACAAGCGGUGGAUUAUGUGGAUUAAUUCGAUGCAACGCGAAAACCUUACCUACCCUUGACAUGUCAGA
rnacentral:rRNA from 1 species